rnacentral:lncRNA from 1 species
GAGCCAACAUUCCACAACCAUCAUUCCUCAAGGUGACAGCCAACCCAAGCCUGCGGCAACAUUCUUAAAGGCUCCACUGCUCUCCAGCCUAUGUAGAUGGCGGCCACAAAAGUGGAGGCCCACCUUGGACUCCUAAUUUGACCACCCUGUCUCUAAUUUACUGUUCAAAUAUUAAGAGUUACCAUCCUUUGAGUCCCGGCUCUGAGCCAGCCCUGUCUGUUCCCAGAGCUGAGUCCUGGAAACUGCAUAAAGGAGCUAUGUCACUGAAGCUCAGACCGGGCUCCCACCCUAAGUCCAGGCAACAGCUGUGAAGCAGCUGCACCACCGUGUCCUAAAGCUGCUUAGGAAAGAACCUGCCAUUCUGCCGCAAGAAGGGCAGUAGCUGACAGCCUCCACCUGCAGCCCCUUCGGGAGCUACCUUAGCAUAUGAGCUGAAGCCACGCUCUUCCUGAACAGUCCUCUGCCAGCAAGUGAGCACCAAGGGUGCUAGGCCUGGCCAUUUCCAACCAACAUGGGGCUCUUCUAAUGGACAACACGUGCUCC